CUCAAGUGAGCUGCAAGGAGGUACAGCAAAGCACCUUGGAUCGAUUGAAAUUUCCUCCAUCAUUGUGGCCGGUCUUAUGACUGCUAAUCAGAGCUUCCCAUGAAACAAAACUGCUACUAAGGGAGCAACAUGUCUCAAAUUCCUUGCAGAUUUUUAUGCUGUUCGUUUUAAUUCAAGAACAUUGGAAAAUAUUUUGAGAAUUGUCUGCUCAUUUUGAUCAAGGCACAACUGGAAUCUGUACAGUCUGUGUUGUAAAGAGGAUAAACCUACCAAGCAUCUCUUCCCUCAGAGGAUACAAUGGCUAGGCUACCUGCAACUGCAACCACCUCAG